rnacentral:rRNA from 1 species
ACAGCAGCAGCCGCGGUAAUACGUAGGGUGCAAGCGUUAAUCGGAAUUACUGGGCGUAAAGCGUGCGCAGGCGGUGUUGUAAGACUGAUGUGAAAUCCCCGGGCUCAACCUGGGAACUGCAUUGGUGACUGCAACGCUGGAGUGCGGCAGAGGGGGAUGGAAUUCCGCGUGUAGCAGUGAAAUGCGUAGAUAUGCGGAGGAACACCGAUGGCGAAGGCAAUCCCCUGGGCCUGCACUGACGCUCAUGCACGAAAGCGUGGGGAGCAAACAGGAUUAGAUACCCCCGUAGUCCCUGUCUCUUAUAC